rnacentral:rRNA from 1 species
GUGAACGCUGGCGGUAGGCCUAACACAUGCAAGUCGAACGGCAGCACAGUAAGAGCUUGCUCUUACGGGUGGCGAGUGGCGGACGGGUGGGGAAUACAUCGGAAUCUACUUUUUCGUGGGGGAUAACGUAGGGAAACUUACGCUAAUACCGCAUACGACCUACGGGUGAAAGCAGGGGAUCUUCGGACCUUGCGCGAUUGAAUGAGCCGAUGUCGGAUUAGCUAGUUGGCGGGGUAAAGGCCCACCAAGGCGACGAUCCGUAGCUGGUCUGAGAGGAUGAUCAGCCACACUGGAACUGAGACACGGUCCAGACUCCUACGGGAGGCAGCAGUGGGGAAUAUUGGACAAUGGGCGCAAGCCUGAUCCAGCCAUACCGCGUGGGUGAAGAAGGCCUUCGGGUUGUAAAGCCCUUUUGUUGGGAAAGAAAAGCAGCAGGUUAAUACCCCGCUGUUCUGACGGUACCCAAAGAAUAAGCACCGGCUAACUUCGUG